AACGAACGCUGGCGGCAUGCCUAACACAUGCAAGUCGAACGAGACCUUCGGGUCUAGUGGCGCACGGGUGCGUAACGCGUGGGAAUCUGCCCUUGGGUCCGGAAUAACAGUUAGAAAUGACUGCUAAUACCGGAUGAUGACUUCGGUCCAAAGAUUUAUCGCCCAGGGAUGAGCCCGCGUCGGAUUAGCUAGUUGGUGAGGUAAAGGCUCACCAAGGCGACGAUCCGUAGCUGGUCUGAGAGGAUGAUCAGCCACACUGGGACUGAGACACGGCCCAGACUCCUACGGGAGGCAGCAGUGGGGAAUAUUGGACAAUGGGCGAAAGCCUGAUCCAGCAAUGCCGCGUGAGUGAUGAAGGCCUUAGGGUUGUAAAGCUCUUUUACCCGGGAAGAUAAUGACUGUACCGGGAGAAUAAGCCCCGGCUAACUCCGUGCCAGCCGCCGCCGUAACAC
rnacentral:rRNA from 1 species